CCAAACCCCAUGGUACUUGUCAAUACUUGAAUAACAAACUUAUUAGAUAUGAUGUUUAGAUGUGAAUAAGAGACAAUGGCUUUUAGGAGUGAUAGAGAGGAGGAUUUAAAUAGGACUAAGAGAGAGCAGGGCAUCAUGAGAGGUCUGUCUUUGCUCAAAGAAGAGACUGGAGCAUUUCUUGCGUCGGCUUUUUUAGUUUUUCAAAGCUUUGCAUCAUUUCUAUGCAUUGAUUUUAUGUAAACGAUCCAGAGAUUUUCCCAGCACACCCAAAAUGAAAUGAGUUUUUGACUGGCCAAAGAAUUCUGCAGUGAAACAAUAUGAAGACUGAGGGAUGUGUUAAAGCAGUCAGUGGAACAGUGUGGUAUUAUCUCGACAGACAAAGCUUCUCAAUUAUCAACAAACAUGAAAUGAAUCCAAAGAGACCAAUUUUCGCCAAAUAAUCAAGCCAUUAUCAUUCAUGACUCAAUCACAGUGGAAAUUACCAAGUCUCUGCUUGUGCCCGGCAGCAGGAGAAGAAAAAAAGAGCAGACAUGGGAGGGAACAAAGGGAUGAUAAUAGAGCUCAAACCAGUCUGUGGCUCCAGUGGGACCAGUGUUCAUACGCGUCACUAGGGUUUGGUGAGAUAUGGGCGCGCUGCCAUACCCAAGCCUGAUUGAGUGCAAAUUAAAUCUUGUUUCAUGGUUUGAAUGGAAGGCAUAGGAGAAGACAAAAACAACAAACUAUUUAGAGGCAACAUCUGCACGGAAAAUCACAUCAGGAGAGUAUUCAGGAACCACAUGUUUCCUCCAAGCUGAGUUUAUUUACAUCUCAUUGUCAUCACAAUGUAGAAACGAAAACAUCCUGUCAGUUUGGCAUUGUUUCACUUUCCACAAUAAUUAAAGCUAGAUUUAAUGAGAAUCUUAGUUAACUUUCACUUUGUAUUGACCUUGGCGCCCCCGCUAGGAAAAGUACUAUCUCUCGGGUCUUCACUGAUUUUCUCCUGUGCAUGUAAGAGCUAUGAUAUUUUAUCACUUAUUCAAUACUCAUCAGAUCCAGUUUCCUGAAUGGUCACUUUAGACCAGCUUGAAAACUGUCAACUCUUAUAUACUUCUUAUAUAUUCGAAUUAUUGCUAGAAGCCUUUCUGCCUUAGCUACAGAAGGCGAUGACAUGCUCCCUUUCAGGUCAUUACUAUCAGUUCCUGUCCUGGUUGUUGUAUUUCACAUUAAAACAGUCUGCCAAAGACUAACGUGAUGUAAGUCGAACAAUGAAAGCACCAUCACUUUUACAGCUCUGUACUGAUUGUUUGUUAGGAAAGUUUGUGUCCUUUUUAUGUUCUUUAUUUGUCAAGGUUACGACACAGCUUUCUGCUGAGCAACUUCAAACUCAAAGCCUGGUGUCCACUGAGCGCCACACACAGGGCAAUACAACCGUUUAUGUGACAGUCAGACUAAUGCGUUUGCAUGUUUUUUAAAAGUCUGGGUUCAGUUAGACACACAAUGGGCUCUACUUUUGUUCCUCGCCAGCCACGUGGCAUAGGCGCAGCAUAAGUCAGGUCCGCCGCGCCAACAAGGCGUGCCCAAGCACAUUUUGGUAUUGUGGUGAGCGGCGCAGCCCAGUGUAAGUAUCCCCCCUCCCUAACUCAGCUCCUCCCAGCGGCGUAAGUCGUAGAGAGAGGGCGUGGAGUGGGUUUAACACAGCCGAGAUCUGUUUUCGCCAAUCAGAACUGCUCCUCUCCUCACCUUUGAAUCCGCCACUGGCAAGGCAUAUUAUGAUUUUCGUGAAUUAGUCAAAGAGAUCAAGAGAUGUCUGAAGACAGUAAUGCCACACGAUGGCGACAGAAGGCAGCCCCUCAACAAGUGUCGCUAUAAGUGCUGCAGAGGGCAUCCUGCACACUCUCUCAUAUGAGCACAGAUGGAUUUUAUGUGUGUAAGGUUGGACCCACUGGUAAGACAAACACCCUUUUCCACAAAUAAAGACACUUACAUAAAGUUGCAUAUAUUGAAACCUCACGUGACAAAGGUGGGUUGUGCGGACAGAUCACAACAUAAAUUCCAAAAAUGGCAUUAAAAUCGGAACCAUCUGUGCGUAAUGACGCAUCGCGCUCCAUGGCCUGGCUCUUUCUUUCAUAGAUGUUGGCAUAUAAAAUAAAUUUGGCUCACAAAACUGAAUAUUAUAAUAUUUGUAUGUAGGCUUAAAGUACAUAACUUAUCUGAUCACUAAAAUAAAUCAUCUGUUCAGCCGCCGGCGCAGCAGCAGCUGCAGCAGGAUGGAGAGAGGACACAGAGACAUGUCCAGGUCGGGCUGCAUGAGAAAUAAGAGGAAGAGGAAGAAAGAAAAGGAGGGAGGCGAAUUACAUAUCUUGUUAAUUUCAUCAUGUGUGUCUAUUUACUAGAUAUUUUAUUUAAUUUAAUGCGGUUUCAGCUGUGUUGAUUUGGUCAGGUUGUGUGUCCAAAUGCGUGCCAAACGCGCUCAUCAGAUCAGAUAUAGAUCAGAAUAUAUCGAAAUAGAUCUAAAUGUAUGUGCUGACUAAGAAUAUUGGUUGUUGAUUAUUUUUUUAACUAAAAUGUGCCUGACACUGUGGAAAUCUGCCGAUGAGGCUUUAUAUAGAAUAGACGGCGUCUGCCUCCUUGCAGGGUGAAGCCACCACAAGAACAGCACCCUCUGGUGACAGGCUGCAGUAUAGGUCAUAAAUCCCUCCUCCAGUAAUUCCUAUGGAGCAGUUCACAAACUUUUAAAAUUAAUUACACAGAAUAUACAUUUUUCUUGCAAUGUUGACAUGUAGUUACUGUAAGACUGGUUUGUUCCCAAGUCCUCUUUUUUCUAAAAAUGUUUUUUUUUUUUUUUCCCCUAGUUUUUUUAAGUUCCUAUGAAUGUACGAAGAUUACAUAGCUCAUCCAGGGGAUAUGCUGUUUGAGCGUCAUCACACCUACUCCCCUGCCAAAUGCGUACAACACUACUGCACAAGUGGUGGUUCCAGGAAGUGGAGAAAAUCCCAGAAAUACAGAGAGCAAUUCGGCUUCAAAUUCGUAUAAUGAGGGAAGGCGGGAGCAAGUUGUCCAUAGUAUUUACAGUCUAUGUGCUCACCAAACCUGACCAUUUAGCUUUUCUGCUUAUCUAGUUAGAAUACAAGCAAACAAAUAAGGUGAAACCUACCAUUGCUAACUUCUCCUCUCUGUUUCCAAUUUCCCUUUUUACUGAGUCUUAGUUUGUAGUCUAUGGAGAAUUAAGGUGAUGGCUGUGAGCAAAGGGGGAAACAGAGUCUUAAAUAUGAGAAAAGGUCUUCCAGUCUGAUUGUCAAAAGCCAGGUAGCUUUUUUGACACUUGAUGAUAAACUCUGAAAAGUGAGACCUAAAAGCCUUACCGGGGGAAUAAGGUAAAGACAUGGCAUAUUGUGGUUUUACAGAAGUAUGAUUUCCUGAAGUCUUUCUAUCACUGUGACUACAGAGGCUUGAAAAGGUCAAUGCUUCAGGUGGAGAAAUGUUUGAUUCAUGCCUGUGAACCCUGCUCAACCCUAGAUGCAUUUUUUUUAACCAAGCAUUUCUAUAAAGUCCCAUUAAAAAUAAACAUUCUUGUAAUUACAUGGUGUCUUGAGUUACCUUUUUAAGAGUCAGACCAGCUGCUUCCCCCAGCCUCCAUUCCCAAUGCGAAGCUAACUGGUGUUCACAUCAAAUUUGCUCCAAAUAGGAAAGAUCUCUAAACCCAAAUCUAAUAAAUAUACACAGUAUUUAUGUUUAUAUCCCUGUUACCAUUCAAGUUACAGUGGAUAGGAAGAACUUCCUUUAACAGGUAGAAACCACGAGCAGAACCAGAGUGAUGUUAGACAGUCAUCUGCUGAGACUGAGCUGGGUUUAGAGAGGGGAGAGAGGGAGAUGACUGGUGCACAUAGUUGAAUCUGUUUAUAAUUGGAGGCCUGUGAAACUAAUGUUAUAAUUUUGUCCAAAGAAGUAAUUUCACUGUGUGAUGCAUUCAAAAGGUUUUUUUGUUUCUUCAUAUUUGGUGGUAUUAGGAUGUGAUGCUUGGGUAAUUUGUGGUGUUUGUGGUGUGGUGCUAUUAUAUGAACAUUUGUGUUGUGGUUGAUGGCGUAAGGCUCCUGUUUGGAAAGUUUGUGGCAAGAGUAUGUGUUUGGAUAGUUUGUUGUGUGUGGAUAUGUUGUUUGGACAUUUGUGGUGUGCUUCAUUUGUGAAGGAUAUGCUGUUUGGACAUUUGUGGUGUGGUUGGAGGUGAGGAUGUGUUGUUUGGAUAGCGUGUGGAUGGACUCUGGUUGCUGGUGUCAGCGUGGCUCUAAUCAGCUGUUGGCAGGAGGAUGAGCGGGCGGUCUCUCCCUGCGGCGGCACCCCAGGUCGAAAGCCGGUUUGAAGUUUAAUGAUGCCAGCUGCCAGCUCCGCCAGGCUGUGAGCGCUAACGAGCUGGCACUGGCGGCGGACUGGGCCACGGCGGCAGCACCUGGAAAUGUAGCACACGUUUCAGAGAGGCGGGGCUCCACCGGGGCUGUUGAGGGGCCUGCUGGAGACCCAGGACAGCACCGAGAGGCCCACGUCUCUUUGAAGAGCGCCCCAAUUUCCAUAUUUCAUUACGCACUGCUGACUGACAAGGCCCAGCCAGAUGUUCUAUUUUCAGCUAUUUAAAUUUUGACCUGCUUUCCUAGCAUGGAUGCAAAAAGAAAAAAAAAAGAUUUCAUCAAAACACAGAUGCCAACGAUGAUAGGAAGUUGAAUCUGGCACUUCUACAUCUGCUUUUUUUCCCAUCAUUCUUCACGUCUGUCCAUCGUAGUUAGCAUCAAUAGAAUAGCCAGACAUUAAAUGUUGCUCCUUAACUCACACAACCUUUGACAAUCUAUCCUGAGGCAUUCACUGUCUUGCUCAAGGACUCUAUAACAAGACAGGAUGGCUGUUUCAGGGAUCAAACCUGAGACCUUGUAUUUAUGAAACAACCUCUAACCAUCCAGCCAUCCCGGCGCUGAAUUGGCUCCAAAGUGAGUGAUGCAUGCUCUGAAACAGCACAUAAAGCGUGCUCGCACUGCUUCUCUGUCCCUGAGAUCGGGGAUGAUUAAUUCCUUUGGUAUUCAUGUUGAAACGGCUGUUAGAUUGCAGCGUCCUCACUCAAUCCCUCAUGCAAAAAUACAUCGACAACCCUGACCUUUUUGUGCAUCUGCUGCAAAUGGCACUUUGUCAUCCUGAGUGAGCAAGCUCAAGGAUCAAUGUGGUUUUGCUGAAAUAAAACUUCUACGAUGCACUUUCUUUCUGUCUCUCACUUUUUAUAGGCUGUGGGUGAGUGUGGGUUCCUAUGUCUGGGUUUCAGGACAGCAAAACUCUUGGAGUGGAGGAAAGACAAAGCAAAAGAAAGACUAGGGCUGGGACACAGCAGGAACAAGUCGAGAACAUCUCAGAGCUGAGCACCACAUGGCAGAAUAUUAAAAGCACUCAUUUUGGGAGAAACAGAGGAAGAAAGGCUUUCAGUCAUUACCCAACUCAACUCACAGCAGGAGAGGAAAAGUGUCUUUUUCCUUCAGUAAUGCAUUUGUGAGUGUUUACGUCUAGGUCAGUCUGUCUGAGUGGAAAAUAAGGAGGUAAUUGAGAUGUAACAGAUGCGCUAAACUGGCAAUACUGACACCGAGAUAAAAGGGAAUGAAAGCUAUUAAAAUGUGUUUUUUUUUUCUUGUAGGUGCAUAUUAUAAAUGUCCACAAAUUGACAAACUGAGGAGGGAAUAUCAGCUUUUCCAUGCUCUGUGUUCGAUGGAGGAAGUGUGUUAAAGAAAGUUUAUCAUCUACUCAGCUGUAGUUCAUUGAGAGUAAACACUGGAGUCUACAAGAUAAGGUGACAUAAUCAAUACAUGUUUAGUGCUCAGAGGAGCUGUAAGGUGGAGGAGAUAUCACUAACAACCCAUGCUAUGAGAUAACAUAAUAAAUCCAUUUAAACUCUUUAAUCCAAGAUCUCAGAUCUGCAGAGGUGUAAUAGUUCAGAGCUAACACGUUAGGACUUGAAUUUUGACUACAACCCAAAAAAAAUGUGGAUAUGAAGUCACGAACAUAAACAUUUAACUUAAGGAUCCACAAUUCAAUUCCUUCCAGCUGCAACAUCAAAUUUUCCAAACUGCCAAAUAAUCAAGCCAUUAUCAUUCAUGAGUCGAUCACAGUGUGAAUUACCAAGUCUCUGCUUGUGCCAGCAGCAGGCAAAGAAAAAAGAGCAGGCAAGGGAAGGAACAAAGAGAUGAUAUUAGAGCUCAAACCGCUCUGUGGCUCCAGUAGGACCAAUGGUCAUCAUUGGCAUCACUGGCAUUUAGAUAAAUACAUACUUGCUGUCAUACCUGAGCUUGACUGAGUACUAUUUUAAGUGGGACGUUCAUACUCUUUACUUAAAAAUGACUAUCUAACCAUCUGUAACAUUUAUAAUGUUGUGAGAACUGGUCAAAGACCAAUUAAGCUGCAAAAAAGCCAAAACUUAAAUACCAAAGACUGCUGUCCUUUUCAUGGCCACUUGAGGCUGUGCCAAUAUGAGGCAAUCGCCAUAGAAAAAUCCUGUUGUAAUGUCAAAUUUAUCAGCUGCAAUAUACAGUUUUGGUCUCAUCAUGAAACUGUUUCUGGCCUAUUUAAAUCAUACUAUGGCAAAAGUUGUGCACACUGAAUAUCUUGGAAAUACAGAGUGACAUGUGGCUGUUUGCUAGGUUUCACUUGAGCUAAUCCUGUCACUCAUCUCUUGGCUGCUGGUCUUGUUGGUGCAUUUCAGUGAUUUUUGACAUGUAUUACAUCCUACCUUCAUAUUGCUAUCUACAAUUAAAUAAAUGUUUAAGAUACCGCCAGUUAUAGGUUAGAUCAAAUUAAUGACUGACAAGUAAAAAUGUAAGUUUACAUCAACAAAAACCUCUGGAUUUCUUUGUUGUAUUUAUAUUUCACUACACUGAUUUCAGAUAUCAGAAAUACCCAUGUCAAGUUGUCCAGACCAAAGGAACCCUAAUACAUUGCAAAACUUCAUACAGAGGCCUGUCCCAAUUAAAGGCUCUUUGUGCAGCAGGGUGAUUGACGAAUAAAGUUGAGUCUCUAUCAGAAGCCUGUAUAGGUUAUGCUGUCAGUUUGUCAAAUUUGCUCAACAAGAGAAGCAGAAAGAUACUUCUCUAGUGAUUUUUAAGAGAGUAAGAGGAAUCAUGAAGCUGAAAUUCAAACUUGAUAUGAGAAAGAGGAUUUUAAAAGGGGGGAGGGGGCUUAAAAAUUAACUGAACUGAAUGCUCAGGUUGGCAUUUCUGGCUUUUGAGGUGACAGGAUUAUUUAUGUUUCUUUUUUUUUUUUUUUUUGCUUUGUUUUAAAUCUAAACCUAAUAAAGACUGAAAAAGCUGUGAAAACUGAACAAUUAACAAGCAAAAGUUAGCUUUGUUCUAAAGUAAUCAAAAGCCAGUCUCCCAUUGUAGCCUGCCUCAAAUAAAUGCAGGAUGCGUUUUUAGACUGAAACAAAUAAAAGCCUGGGCUGCAAAUUUGAGUUUUACGGUAGUUCGUGUGAAACAAACAAACACAAUUAAGAUUUUUUUUAAAUGGAUUGUUAGAGUUUAUGAGCAACAAAUUUCUCAUUUCCAGCAGCAGCUGUUUACUUUUUGAACCUAGUACUUUCUUUUGCCUGAAUCAGACAGAAAAAAGUUAGCUGUUGUUUGUGAACACAGUGUAGACUGAACUGAGAAAGAAUCCAGUUUACGUUUUUACGUUCACUAUGAAAUGAAUGAUUUUGCUCCCUUUCUAUUAGAUGCAUAAAUAACCUUUACUUUACGAACAGAUAAGUUGUAGUUAGUUACAGAGCUACAGAGAAAGUAAAAGGUUUAAAACUGCAAAACUUGAUAUAAAUAAAAAAAAAAAAAUUUCAGUGAUAUAACCUCUGUGGGGAAAGAAAGUCUGCCAAAAAUGGAGGAAAGAGCUGUAGAUUAUUUUCCUGGCAGAGAUACUUUCAUAAAUGAUUAACAUUCAGUAAUUUCAGCCAGAAAUAUGUCAUCUGUAUUUUUAUAUAACCACCUCAACUGAACAAAUAAAGAUUCAGUGAUACCGGUGGUACCAACAGAGAUAAUACAGGACUUUGAACUCCAUGCAGUCAUUGACUUUCUUAAUAUUACAUUUUUAUUACACACAGAUAAAAAAGUGAAAAUGUUGUAUCAUACAGUGGUAAUAGUGAAACUCCUUGAAGUCAAGCUAAUAUUCUUUUCAAGAGAACAAUUUCUCUAUGCAGCCAAGAAAUUUUUAGUGAGAGUAAAUGUUAGUGCAAGUUUACACAAAUAUAUCCAGAUUAUUAAUCCCUCCUCCUCCUCGUUCUGCUCACUCUCGGAAUUUCCCCCAGCCUCUAUGAAGAUGCUUUAGUCAGGACUUUGUUAGUAUGAACGCUGCAGGAUCCUCCGCUCCCUGUUUCUGGACUGCAGGACCUUUGGCAUGACCUUUUGAAGACAAUUUGCAGCAGUAGCAAUCGCCCUUCGCCUCGCCCCAUGUUAUUUUCCCUCAUUAUUUUUUUCAAUGUUACCUUUGCAGCAGGGCAAAAAGAAGGGCAGGACUCCACACAGGGGUCAAAGGUCAGGAGGAAGAGGGUAAAGAUGCAGGUCAGAUUGGCUCCACAGUUGUGUUCACCCUGUGUCCUCAGAGAAUUCACUGUCAUGGCGUCAUUUGAACUCUGAACCCUGCAGCUGUCAGUCAAACAGAUGACCCUCAGCGGUGACUGUUAUGGGGUUUGGUGAUUAGGAACAUUUCCCAGCCUGCAGGGAUAAGGUGGACAGGCAUUAUGGAGCUUCAAUGUGUGGCAUUAAAUAAAUUAACAUGUAAGGGAAAUCUAUUUCCCUGGCAACAUGUAGUUUUUAGUCCUGCUGCUACAUGGCUUUAGGACACGUUGGUCAGUCCAUCCUGAUAGACCAAAAUAAGUUACCUGUUGGCUGACCCUGAGUCUUUCCCAACAAUUGUGAGUUCUCCUUAUUUAUUGAUACUUUUUAGCACAACCAAUAUUUAAACUUGUUUUUUUGUGUUUUUUUCUGACAACUGUUCACCCCUUCGAUCUUUAUCUAGCCCAAAUAUAUUGACCUCCAUUUUUUAAAUUAGCCCAGCAGCAUAGUCUACACACCAACAAUGCAACCACCUGUCAGUCAAAUCAGUUAGGCCUCUAAUUAUACCUGACUAAGCAUGAUCCAUAGCCUUCACACACAGAAAUCACCCUCUGAGCACCUGCCACAACCAAAUAAACCAAAACUUUUUGUCUCAUGUUCUUGGCUGUCACCAUGUUUAUUUUUGCUCUUAAAGCUGUUGGCAUUUUUCCAUUGGCUCUGAUGGCUUCUUUGGCUUUUGGAGCCAGCCUCAAGUGGGCAAUUGAAGGCCAUCAGCUUUAUGCAUUAGCUUUAUUUCUCAACAACUUUGCUACACGGUUUUUCAUGAUGGCUCUUUUUAUUUUGUGUUUCUAUUCUUUUUGUUUUGGAUCCAGAAGCAGCCAUACUUCAUAAGGUUUCUUGGACCUCUCCACGACCCAUUGGUGUGUCAGGCUUAAAACAAUGUGUGGUCAGGUAAACAGGAUGGAAAAGGCAACUGAUCCAAUUAUAAUCAGGUCAUAAGUCUUCUGUACUUUUCCUGCUAUUCAAGAAAGGGUGCAUUAGUUUGAUUAGCUCCUAAUCGUGAAGAAAUAUGGAUGGAUUUACUGAAACAUCUGUUACAAUGUUCACAGUGUGACCUGGCAAUCACAGAGCUAUAAACUAGUACUGUGACAUAGACUGUAUGAACAACUUGGGUCCACCUUCCACCAGUAUAUGGAUUUGAAGCUGAAAAGCUCUCAGUAAUUCUGCGUUUUUUUCUCCUCUUCCUGAGACCACCACUUGCACAGUAGCAUUGUAAGCAUUCGGUGGGAGAGUUGCCAAGAGUCGCUGUGAUGAUGCUCAGCUCAAACAGCGUAUCCCCCAAGUGAGCUACGCAAUCUUAAUAAUAUGUAAUAAAUUUCUAAAGUUUGUCCACAGCUCCAUAGGGAUUGCUGGAGGAGGCAGGAUUUUUGACCUAUACUGCAGCCCAUCACCAGAGGGUGCUGUUCUCGGAGUGGUUUCACCCAGCGAGGGGGCAGACGGCGUCUAUUCAAUGUACCAUGACUUCAUUAACAGACAGAACUUCACAGUGGUACUGUUCUAACUAUCACAACCGAUGAUGCUGGAAAGGGGCUGAGCAGACCACAUCCAGAAAAAACAAUAAAAAUGUCUGUUAUGGUAGUCCUUCCCAAACUCCUCAUAAAUGCAGGGAUGUUGUUGCCAAGGCUCUACAAACUGAACCUCUGUCUUAUAGAUCCAUCUCCAUCUGGCAGCACCCACUCAAUCGCUCCCCUUUUGCUUCACUGUUUGGUUUGUUCAUGCUUGUGACUUUUGCACCUGCAGAGAGCUCUGUGCUCUCAUCGGUCAAUGCCACUGCAGUAUAGAAACAAAUUGUAGAAAGCAAAGGGAAAAAUCAAACAUUUUAGACUUCCUGUCAGGAGGUCAUGAGCUAUCCCAGACAUGGUUUUGAUUGUCGUUAAUAAUGACACACUGCACAAGAUAAAAUGAUCGAUUUUUGGAGCAGACAGGUCCUGACACCCUACGUCUGCCAGAUCAGGCUACAAUUCUGCUUAUGUCAUAUCGUUUGACCUCAGCAAAGAGCAUACCUUGCUUACAAUUACAUAUUACUCUGAAUGGCAUCAUUAUUUACAAUGCACUGUAUUGAAACAAACUUCAAACUUGUGGUACCUGAUCAUCUGAGGAGGCCAUUUUUUUAUUUAUUUCUUUAGGUCACAACCUUUACUUAAAAAAAAAUCCAAGUUGCCCUCACUGGUCUCCACAAAGAGUGCAUGUUAAGGGCACUUCUGCUUUUCCUUUGAAAGGACGACACUUCAGGAGGAUAUGUCGAUUUCUUAUUUAGAGCUAUCAUGUUCAAAUAUCACCAAAGUUUUUUAUUAACUUUGCCUUCUUGUCAGAUUCUUAUGAUCUAACAAUAGCAGUAGAAGUCUUUAUUAUUUACAAACCCUAUUCCAGUGAAGUUGGGACAUUGUAUAAAACGUGAAUAAAAACUGAGUAUGCUUUGCAAUUUUUUUUAUCCACUCUCCCUUAGGAACAUGCCACAGCAUUAAACUCAAAAUGAGAAAUAAAACAAGUUUAUCAGCUCAAAGAUUAAAUAUCUUGUCUAUAAUGUAUUCAACUGAAUGUAGGUGGGAAAGGAUUUGCAAACUAUUUGUUUUUAUUCAUAUUUAACACAACGUCCCAACUUGAUUAGAAUUGAGGUUUGUACCUGCUGGACACAAGUAUGUUAGCGUGCAAAUUCUGACAGCUCCAGUAUACAUACUUAACCACAGAGCAGCUGCAGUCAUGGCUGUACCAUUGAGGUUUGUUGAUUUUCAAGUCAUAACAGCAACAAAAACUCUUUGAAAUCUUGUUUUAUUUUCUAGGUGUAAAAGAUUGAAGUUACAGAAUCCCCGAUGCAAAACUUUUAAGCACAACUCUUGUGAAUUAAGAAUCAAGUGUAAAUAUAACCUGAUCUGCAGAUAGAUCAUUUGUACUGUUACAACCCUGAAUGGCAAACUCAUUGCAGGUCCAGUUUGUAUUUGAUGCACUUACUCAAGAAACCAGAAGCACCAUUUAAUGUGCAGGGCAUUUUCAGAUGAGAUUUUUUUUUCGUGAAUUACUUCGAUAUUAAGGCAAAAUACUACAAAAUCCCAGAAACAUAUUUGCAGCAUCAAAUGAUUCCUUCAACAGUUUGUUCAUUAGAGACAUGCAGAACUUCCUCCUCUUCAAGUUUGAAGCCUUAUGUUUAACGGUGACACAGGAUUUUACCAGUUUUCAGUUUGCUUUCAUGAAGGUAUUAAAAUUGCAGGUAAAUCAACAAAUAAAUGAGCUCCAGAAAAUGGAGGUAUCUUGGCAUUGUUUGGAAUAUUGGAAAUGAAGCAGUUGAAUACUGUGCCGAAGUUAAUUUUCAUUUCCACUGAUGAAAUAAAAUCCAGUUAUAAAAAAGGUGGGUGAAGAGUCAGACAUGAGCUUCUGAUCAAAUACGCUGGUCUCCUUGACAUUUUCUGCUCUGCGUUGGCUGUUCAUUCUCAUCACAUUUCACAGAGGUGCAUACAGGAUGACACGACCUGUUGACAUUUGCAAACUCAUCUAGAUGAGAGUAAUAGCCUUCUAUAAGGAGCAACACCUACACGUGUCCUUCUAAAGGGUCCCGUUUCUGUUGCUGUGUCAUAUGAGAAAAUGUUAUUGCUUUAACAGACAUAAGUCCACCUCGACAGACAGGUCCAGGUCUUAUUUUCUUGUCUGUAGCAUCUUUCAGAUGCCUGAAAUGAUUACAACAGAUGCACAGAAUAGCAGGAAGGUCUCAUAAAUUGACUUAAUGCCAGUGAGGUUUCAUGAUCACAUUGUCUGGACUGCCACCAGGGGGACCUGGCUGCUUAAAUGUGACCAGCUCAAAGUCUGCUCCAGCUUUAUGGAUAAGGGAUCUGGAUAGCUGCCAAGAGCAGUGUAGUGCAACAGCAGCUGAGGUAAGGGCAG